rnacentral:lncRNA from 1 species
AUCUGUGUGGAAGGGGGUUGCAGGGAGCAGAGUAUGCUGAGGUUAGAGCCUGAGGGGUUUGGCGUCAUGCCAAGCCUAGGAGGCAAGAUUAAAGAGACUAGCUGGGCGCGGUGGCUCAUGCCUGUAAUCCCAGCACUUUGAGAGGCCAAGGUGAGCGGAUCAAUUUGAGGCCAGAAGUUUGAGACCAACCUGGCAAACAUGGUGAAACCCCAUCUCUGGUAAAAAUACAAAAUUUAGCCGGGUGUGGUGGCAGGCACCUGUAAUCUCAGCUACUUGGGAGGCUGAGGCAUAAGAAUUGCUUGAAUCCAGGAGGCAGACAUUGCAGCAAGCCAAGAUUGUGCCACUGCACUCCAGCCUGGGCAAGGGAGCAAGACUCCGUCUCAAAUAAGCAAACAAAAAAGAAUAAAGAGGCUUCUCUGGUGGGGCUGCGGAGGAGGGUGGGCCUCCCAGGAAAAGGGUCUUGUCAGGACAACUUCCAGCCUCAGCCGCCUCUCCUGCCUCUGCCUUGGGCAGCAUGCAAGAGCUCUGUGAGGGGAUGAAGCUGCUGGCAUCUGACCUCCUGGACAACAACCGCAUCAUCGAACGGCUAAAUAGAGUCCCAGCACCUCCUGAUGUCUGAGCUCCAUGGGGCGCAUGAGGCAUCCUGAAGCAUUAGAAUGAUUCCAACACUGCUCUUCUGCACCGUGAGACCAACCCAGGGCAAGAUCCCAUCCCAUCACAUCAGCCUACCUCCCUCCUGGCUGCUGGCCAGGAUGUCGCCAGCAUUACCUUCCACUGCCUUUCUCCCUGGGAAGCAGCACAGCUGAGACUGGGCACCAGGCCACCUCUGUUGGGACCCACAGGAAAGAGUGUGGCAGCAACUGCCUGGCUGACCUUUCUAUCUUCUCUAGGCUCAGGUACUGCUCCUCCAUGCCCAUGGCUGGGCCGUGGGGAGAAGAAGCUCUCAUACGCCCUCCCACUCCCUCUGGUUUAUAGGACUUCACUCCCUAGCCAACAGGAGCGGAGGCCUCCUGGGGUUUCCCCAGGGCAGUAGGUCAAACGACCUCAUCACAGUCUUCCUUCCUCUUCAAGCGUUUCAUGUUGAACACAGCUCUCUCCGCUCCCUUGUGAUUUCUGAGGGUCACCACUGCCAGCCUCCGGCAACAUAGAGAGCCUCCUGUUCUUUCUAUGCUUGGUCUGACUGAGCCUAAAGUUGAGAAAAUGGGUGGCCAAGGCCAGUGCCAGUGUCUUGGGGCCCCUUUGGCUCUCCCUCACUCUCUGAGGCUGCAGCUGGUCCUGGGACAUGCAGCCAGGACUGUGAGUCUGGGCAGGUCCAAGGCCUGCACCUUCAAGAAGUGGAAUAAAUGUG